rnacentral:rRNA from 1 species
CUGCAGCCCGAGUGGUGGUCGAUUUUAUUGAGCCUAAAGCGUCCGUGGCCGGACUAGUAAACCCUUGGGUAAAUUGGGCAGCUUAACUGUCCAAAUUCCGAGGGGACUGCUAGUCUUGGGACCGGGAGAGGUCAGAGGUACUCAAGGGGUAGGGGCUAGAUCCUGUAAUCCUUUGGGGACCACCAGUGGCGAAGGCGUCUGACUAGAACGGAUCCGACGGUAAGGGACGAAACCCUGGGGCGCGAACCGGAUUAGAUACCCGAGUAGUCC